UCUCAAAGCUUUUUACCCUUUAGUUGGCUAAUGACAGUAAAAGUUGAAGAUGAGGUUUCUAGCACUGGCUUUAGUCUUGAUGAUGGUGAACUCUUGUUUGGCCACAAAUAGGAAAACUUUGACGGUUGAAAUGCAUGAGCAAGAGCAGCAGCAGCUAAUCGAUCAGGACAUAAGCAAUCCAAACGAUAAUAAUGAUCACCACACCAUGCCUAGACAAGAUUCCUCUCCUUAUAAGAAUGACAAUGGAAAUAGCGGUGUAGCUAAACCAUAUGACAAGGGAAAUAGCGGUCAUCCUAAUUCAAUUGAAAAUGGAAGUAGCGGUCCAGCUAGACCUGGAAAUUAGUCUCGCUAAACCAACGGUUCCAGUGCAUAAGUGGUAUAAAUAACCAUAUAUAACUUUGUUUGGAAUAUGUUUAGUUAUUGCUCAGUUUUACUCAUGCAUAAUUAAUGGAAGUUCUUUGUUUUGUAA